UUUUCUUUUCUUUUUCUAUUUAUACUUAUCAUGUUUUAUUCAAUUACUACACGACACCUUAUUCAUUUAUACCUACUUCUAAGCCUCCAAUAGCUUUGUUACCUUUUUCUAUUAUCUUUCAUUUUCAAAAUAUCACACCAAAAAUAUAUUCUUUUUAGUAA